AUCUAGUUGGCAGUCAACUGGGUGGCAAGGUUCUGCUUAAUAUAACAAAAGUACAGACAUUUUGAAACAAAGGGACCUCCAAGACUGUUUUAUUCCACCUCUUUAUCUUCAAUUUAGUAAGAAAAGUAAGCAGCACAGGUACAAGAUGUCCAGUUGCGUGUAGUCCCUUCCUUAAGUAUCUGUAGCCGACCAUCAGAUAAUCGUUUUGCCCAGGACUUUUUUGAGAACAUGGUAGCCUGUAUCCCAGCUGAAUUAGCUGCUAUUCAGGGAUUUCCUCCCUCAGUCAAAGCUGGCUACUAUGGCACAUGUCAAGAAACAAUACUAUUGUCUUUUGUUUUUUAAGAAAGACAAAGGUAGAUACAAGAGCACCAGAGUGGUUUUUUGUUUGUUUAAUUGUUUGAGGACAUGUGACAAUUUGUAGGGAUAUAAGUAAAAAGAUGACUGUACCUGGAUAUGUUCAGUUAUUUUAAUGAAGAAUGAGAAAUAAGUAGGAUGAUUUCAGUCUCCCAGGCAUUAGUCUGAAUGAAGCUCUGGGGCAGCUUUACUCUUAAAGCU
rnacentral:lncRNA from 1 species